AUGCCGAUCGCAACGCUCUUCAUUACCAGUAGACAAGGGCGCUGGUUCAGGGUUUAAGUGCAGAAGGAGCGAGACGAAGAUUUCUCAUCAAGCUUUAAAGCUGCCAGGUGUCGUACAUCGAGGCUGAAGUCAAGAUGAAAUCUCACAUCAUUCUUAUUGCAGCACUUGUUUUCUUGACCAUGUUAGAUAUUGGUGAGUCAGGCUAUGGCUAUGGCUAUGGCUAUCAUGGGCAUGGCCACGGAUAUGGCGGCUAUCGUAAUCGCAAUAGGUACCAUCAUGGUUAUUACGGCAAAAGAGGUAUGAAGAAGAUAGCCAGUCGCCAGCGAGCCAAUAACGUCCACACAGAGUUAAACGACGACCCCAAAAUAGAGCAUCUCAAAUAAAACUUCGCUGAAGUCGAGCAUCAAAAAGCCUAG